rnacentral:rRNA from 1 species
CAGUAGCCACGGGAAUACGUAGGUGGCGAGCGUUGUCCGGAAUUAUUGGGCGUAAAGGGAGCGCAGGCGGACAUAUAAGUCCAUCUUAAAAGUGCGGGGCUCAACCCCGUGAGGGGAUGGAAACUGUAUGCCUUGAGUGCAGGAGAGGAAAGCGGAAUUCCCAGUGUAGCGGUGAAAUGCGUAGAUAUUGGGAGGAACACCAGUGGCGAAGGCGGCUUUCUGGACUGCAACUGACGCUGAGGCUCGAAAGCCAGGGGAGCGAACGGGAUUAGAUACCCCAGUAGUCCCUGUCUCUUAUACA